rnacentral:rRNA from 1 species
GAUGAACGCUGGCGGCGUGCCUAAUACAUGCAAGUAGAACGCUGAAGGAAGGAGCUUGCUCUUUCCGGAUGAGUUGCGAACGGGUGAGUAACGCGUAGGUAACCUGCCUGGUAGCGGGGGAUAACUAUUGGAAACGAUAGCUAAUACCGCAUAACAGUAGAUGUUGCAUGACAACUAUUUGAAAGGGGCAAUUGCUCCACUACCAGAUGGACCUGCGUUGUAUUAGCUAGUUGGUGAGGUAACGGCUCACCAAGGCGACGAUACAUAGCCGACCUGAGAGGGUGAUCGGCCACACUGGGACUGAGACACGGCCCAGACUCCUACGGGAGGCAGCAGUAGGGAAUCUUCGGCAAUGGACGGAAGUCUGACCGAGCAACGCCGCGUGAGUGAAGAAGGUUUUCGGAUCGUAAAGCUCUGUUGUAAGAGAAGAACGAGUGUGAGAGUGGAAAGUUCACACUGUGACGGUAUCUUACCAGAAGGGGACGGCUAACUACGUG